GAUCCAGACUUUGAUCAUGGCUCAGGAUGAACGCUAGCUACAGGCUUAACACAUGCAAGUCGAGGGGAAACGAUAUUGGAAGCUUGCUUCCGAUAGGCGUCGACCGGCGCACGGGUGAGUAACGCGUAUCCAACCUGCCCAUCACUUGGGGAUAACCUUGCGAAAGUAAGACUAAUACCCAAUGACGUCCAUAGAAGACAUCUGAAGUGGAUUAAAGAUUUAUCGGUGACGGAUGGGGAUGCGUCUGAUUAGCUUGUUGGCGGGGUAACGGCCCACCAAGGCGACGAUCAGUAGGGGUUCUGAGAGGAAGGUCCCCCACAUUGGAACUGAGACACGGUCCAAACUCCUACGGGAGGCAGCAGUGAGGAAUAUUGGUCAAUGGACGAGAGUCUGAACCAGCCAAGUAGCGUGCAGGAAGACGGCCCUAUGGGUUGUAAACUGCUUUUAUAAGGGAAUAAAGUGAGUCUCGUGAGACUUCUUGCAUGUACCUUAUGAAUAAGGACCGGCUAAUUCCGUGCCAGCAGCCGCGGUAAUACGGAAGGUCCGGGCGUUAUCCGGAUUUAUUGGGUUUAAAGGGAGCGUAGGCCGGAGAUUAAGCGUGUUGUGAAAUGUAGACGCUCAACGUCUGCACUGCAGCGCGAACUGGUUUCCUUGAGUACGCACAAAGUGGGCGGAAUUCGUGGUGUAGCGGUGAAAUGCUUAGAUAUCACGAAGAACUCCGAUUGCGAAGGCAGCUCACUGGAGCGCAACUGACGCUGAAGCUCGAAAGUGCGGGUAUCGAACAGGAUUAGAUACCCUGGUAGUCCGCACGGUAAACGAUGGAUGCCCGCUGUUGGUCUGAAUAGGUCAGCGGCCAAGCGAAAGCAUUAAGCAUCCCACCUGGGGAGUACGCCGGCAACGGUGCAACUCAAAGGAAUUGACGG
rnacentral:rRNA from 1 species